GCGGGUAUAGUUCAGUGGUAGAACAUUAGCUUCCCAAGCUAAGUGUCGCGAGUUCGAGUCUCGUUACCCGCUCCA
rnacentral:tRNA from 1 species